UUCAAAUGAUACUUCUUCUAACAUUGCUGCACUGUUGGCAACAAUUCUGCACUAUUGGCAACAGUGCAGCAAUGUUAGAAGAAGUAACAUUUGGAA
rnacentral:pre_miRNA from 1 species